UGGGUGGUUAGCUCAGUGGUAGAGCAUCUGCCUUACAAGCAGAUGGCCACUGGUUCAAAUCCAGUACCACUCAUC
rnacentral:tRNA from 1 species